rnacentral:sRNA from 1 species
ACUUCCUAGAUGGGAUGGCGGCCGGGAAGAGGCGCUCCUCACUUCCCAGACUGGGCAGCCGGGCAGAGGGGCUCCUCACAUCCCAGACGAUGGGCGGCCAGGCAGAGACGCUCCUCACUUCCCAGACGGGGUGGCGGCCGGGCAGAGGCUGCAAUCUCGGCACUUUGGGAGGCCAAGGCAGGGGGCUGGGAGGUGGAGGUUGUAGCUAGCCGAGAUCACGCCACUGCACUCCAGCCUGGGCAACAUUGAGCACUGAGUGAACGAGACUCCGUCUGCAAUCCGGGCACCAUGGGAGGCCGAGGCUGGCAGAUCACUUGCUGUUAGGAGCUGGAGACCAGCCCGGCCAACACAGCGAAACCCCGUCUCCACCGAAAAAAUACGAAAACCAGUCAGGCGUGGCGGCGCGCGCCCGCAAUCGCAGGCACUCGGCAGGCUGAGGUGGUGACUUUCGAUGCAGGGGGAGUAAGUGGCCACAGCAAUCACAUUGCUCUGUAUGCAGCUGUGAGGGUGCUCUGUGCUCACGCUUCAGUCUGUGAAUGUGCUGCGCAAGU